GUUCCGCAAACGCACAGUAUGGAGCCUAGCUUCCUCCUCCCGUGUUACCUGAGGGAGAAGAGGGACGAAACGUGAAAACAAACGGAAAGCGAGGAAGCAGAAAACUCAUUCUGCUAUUCCUGUUCUAAUGCCAUCACUCCUUCAACGUUCUUAUGUGGUCUCCACAUUUCCUUCCAGAAGACACAUCCACAAUGCUUUACAUAAUAGAGUUUCAUUCACCAUUUGGGCCUGUUGAGACCCUUCCAGAGCCUGGAUUCCAGGGAUUCCUGGGAACAACAGAUCACAGAGAUACCACAAAACUAUGGAUGACAGAAAAAUAAACAAGUAGGACAAUUUCAAACUAAAGAGUUACUGAAUGGCAAGAAAAGAAUAAAUUGAAAAGGAAGCAGAAUCAGAGAAGGUUUCACAAAUACUGUAUCAGAUGCUGGGGGCACAUCCAUCAUGCAACUCAAGAACUAAAGAAAACACAUGACAUGAAUAGACAUUUAUUCUAAAUGAGUUCUUUCAGUGGCCAAAGGCAAAUGAAGUGUUGCUCUACCUCACAGACCAUGAGAGAAACGAAAGUCAAAGUCACCAUGAGAUGUAACUUCAUCAAAUGGCCAUUAUGAAAAAGCAAGAGGAACAAGCAGCGGUUGAGAUGGGAUCAAAGCAGACUCCUGGGCACUGCUGAUGGGAGUUCAAUGGAACAACCUUGAUGGCAAUUGGGUGGAGUUGGCUCAAAACUUUGCAACUCCAUGAACCAUGUGCCCUGGCAAUCCCGCCUCAACACACACACAGAGGAAUUGACAUCAGUCUCUCAAAGGUGUCUGCCUCCUGCGUUCACUGCAGCAUGUUUAUUAAACCAAGAUAUAGAGACAACUGCGUGUCCACCAGUGAACACGAGGAUGCGAUGAUUGUGCUGUAUGGAUGGAUACAUGAUGCACACACACACACACACACACACACAUACACUGAAUGAAAUAGUAUUCCUUCACAAGCAGGAAGAAAUGCUCUCUAUUAUGACAAGAUGGAUGAACCCGGAUCAUACUGUAUUACUAAGACAGCAGACAAAAAAGGGAAUAUUCUCUGAUCUUUCCUGCAUGAGACCCCUGAACAUGUUGCACUUAGAGAAAGGGAAAGAGUGAGAGGUGGAUGCCAGGAGCUUGAAGCAGGAAACUAUGGACAUGUUAUCGACAGGUAUAAACUUUCAUGUACUUGAGGAACAAGUUCAGCGUAUCCAAGGUAAUGUUUGAUGAGAAGAUGGUAUUAAGGUCUGUGUACUUAUGGUUGGCUGAAAAGUGAUCUUAAAUACACUCAACACACAAACACACAUACUGAUUGGUCAACCAUGUUCAUUUAGAGGGGCAUUUCAGAGCAUACAGCACAUGAAUAAUUCCUUACCUAAAUAUUUAUUGGAAAUAUUUUAAUUAGACCUCAAUAAAGUUGAAAUAAAUCUGUAAAAUUAAAAUGAGUGAAACAGAUUAAACUGAAGGCAGAUUGCAAGACUGUAAAAUACCACACCCCAUGUGUGUGCUGUGUAAUAGAGUCACACUGUACAUACAAAAGCACACGGGUGAAAAGCAAGAGCACGGACAAGUCUUGGGCAUGAGCUCCUCAGCAGGUCCCGGAGGGUCCCAUUCAGAGCAGAUGAACUGGCCUGCAGCACCAGCCCAUGAGCUGAGUAAGACCCACCCAGUGAAGGAGACAGGGGGACUUCCAGGGAACAAUGAUGAUCACAAACUGCACACUGACUUACCUAAAGGUGUCGCCCUCCAUAUGUUGGGAAAUGUGCUUUAGGGGACAGAACCCCUGGGUAUACAAAACCCACUGCAUUGAAAUGCACCCCUUAAAUGGCUGUCCUCAUAUACACAUGGCAUCAGUAUUUAUGGUGUAAACACACAUCCUUAGUGGAUCACUGUGGGCGGAACACACCAGGUCAGAACACAACAAACCCACAGGUCAGUUCACACUCCACCUAACUGCUAUAAAAGCACCACCCCCACAGUCACUGUGAGAUCCCAGCUUUCUCCCCAGGCACUGGAGAAGCAGCAGGGAAAUGCACCCACAGCCAGCCCUGAAGUGAGGGCCACAAGUGCAAGGGCUCAUGUGACAUGGCAAUUCAUCUGGAGUCACAAAAGACAAACAGGAAAACCCUGAUCUUCAGUAUGUUCAAAACACAAAGCACCUUUUACUUACCACCUGGUGACUUAAACUCUAUUAUGGAAAGCACUGUGGACGUGCCUUCCAGAAGUAAAUGUGAAGACUGGAUGAGAGCCUGUGAAAGAAUGAUGGCAUUAGAACAGGAACAGCAGAAGGAGCCCUAGAAAAGGAGGGAGAGAGGAUUUCUGUGAAGGCAGCAGAAAAAUAUCAAAGAACCUCAAUAGAAAGGAAAAGCAAAGGCAAACACAGUUCCUUGGAAAGACUACUGCAUUUAACCCCUCCUGUGAGACUGUCCCUCUGCCCCAUGUGAAGGCUCCACAGUGUCAGGUGUACAGUGUGAGAAAGACACUGAGAAUCCACAGGUGUGUGUGAAAAGGUGAUGUUGGAUGGACUAUGUCAGUGAAUUAAGAGGAACGAGACAGGAGAAAAUUCUAGGAGACUCGACUUACCGUAGAUUACAGACCCGCAGGCAACAGCACAGUGCAGUGCUCCCCAGCAUGACAUGGAAUAUUGGGGAAAAGGGCUUCCUAAGGAUUCCCAAGGAAUGCUCCAACAGCGAAGGAUGCCAACCACCAGAUGCAGAAACAUCUGCAAACACUUCCUAGGGACAGGAAAGUGGAUUCUCUUAAUCACACUGUGAGGGCAGCAGAGCCUUCACAACAGAAGGAAAUGUAGUUGAAACGUUGAUGACAAGAGUGUGUCCUUCCACUUCCUGAUGAAAAGCAAUCUGCACAAAAUCAUGGCUGACAGGAAUCCCACACUGUGCAAAAGGAUUCCAGCAACUGAGCAAGUGAGUUGUCAUAAGUGCAAGGAGGUUCAGGAUUAGAAAGUUCAGCUGUGUGACCACCCCCAGGAGUAGAGUCAAAGAGAAAUCUCAUUAUCAACCUCAAUAGACACAGAAAAUCAUGGGAUUAAAUGCCACACAUAUAAAGUUAAAAGUUUUACAGAUAAAAAUAAAAAGGAUUUGUUUUUGUGAAAAAAUAUCAAUAAUGUCAACAAUACCCUGUUUGGUUUAAAUGAGGAAAGCUUCCCUCUCAUAUCAGAUACCAGUGCAGACAACUUCUCUCUCUGCUUUUGCCCCUUAUGACAGUAGAGGGCUUUAUUGUCAAUACAGAGGCAAUAAUUUAUAAUCACUGUGAAAAAGUCAAUAUUUUGUUUCUUCAUACACGUAUCAAAUUCUGUGGACAAAAUUCUGAAAACAAAGGGCUAAAUUGUAUGAAUCAUAUGAGAGAUGAUGAAGUCUGUUGGGAACAGGUCAGUAUUAAAAUCACUUGAGGUCUGUAUUCCACCAUAAAACUAUUAUCCAACACCAUUCAAGAAUCACACAGUUAAGUUGCAUCAAAUAAAAUGAACCUCCAAACUAUUACAUGAUAAACUUAGGCUAUAAAUUUUAUAAGAAAAUUUAUAAAUAAAAAUGGGCUUGUCAUGAGAGGAAGGACAUUCAGGAGGAAGCCAGACAUCAAAUGCAGUCCUUACCAGGCGUGGACUGGGCAGGGGGAAUAGAGUCCCGGGCUCCCCUCCUCUCUCUCCCAGGCCCAGGGCUGCAGGGCCCUGCUUUAGGCAGUCGGCCUCCCUGACUCAGUGAGGAGUCUUGGAAAGGCUGCGCCUGGCCCUGUAUUUCAGGGGCAGAAUGACAGGACCUCUCCUCCCAGGGCACAUCACUCACCUGUCCUCUGUUGCCCCAAGAACCUUGUUUACUGUGCCUCACUUUGAAGCCCAGGAGUAACGGGUCCUCUCCCAGGGGCACCGGGAAUCUCCUGGUGGACUGCCAGGUGGAGUGAGUGCAGUCGCUGCCUGAGAAUGUGGUUUUCCCAAGAUGAAUCCAGAAAGUGAACUUCAGCAUCCAGGAAGUCAUUAAAGGCUAGUUUCCACACAGCUGGUGGAAAUGACCACAAGCCUGGAUCCAAGCUGACCCUGGGCAGGACCCUGAGGACUCAGGAGGCCACUGUGCCUCCUCUGCCCCCUGUGGGUUUUACCUUCCUCCAGGUUCCAUGAAGCACAGGCUGGUGCAGGGCACAGGGUGAACUGCCACCCACAGCACAGGGAGCUGCCAUGUGUGGAGCACGCAUGGCCCUGUGUGGACCUGUCUCUCCUUUCAGAAUUGCGGAGACGUGGGAAGUGCUCCAGAACUGAGCUCUGAAAUGUUUCCUGCGCAACCUGUGAUAGAAGCUCAAUAAAUGUAGUUAAAGCACAUUCCUAACGUGAUGAAUUGUGAAAUAAAGUCAGUGUCUCUCAACACCUAAAAUACAUGCUCCCAAGACUAAUGAAAUGUCAGUUCUCCUAAGGCCAAAAAUCCCUGCAUUGCCCAUAUAUCCUUCACCUGCUAAAAC